GACGAACGCUGGCGGCGUGCCUAAUACAUGCAAGUUGAGCGCUGAAGGUUGGUACUUGUACCUCCUGGAUGAGCAGCGAACGGGUGAGUAACGCGUGGGGAAUCUGCCUUUGAGCGGGGGACAACAUUUGGAAACGAAUGCUAAUACCGCAUAAAAACUUUAAACACAAGUUUUAAGUUUGAAAGAUGCAAUUGCAUCACUCAAAGAUGAUCCCGCGUUGUAUUAGCUAGUUGGUGAGGUAAAGGCUCACCAAGGCGAUGAUACAUAGCCGACCUGAGAGGGUGAUCGGCCACAUUGGGACUGAGACACGGCCCAAACUCCUACGGGAGGCAGCAGUAGGGGAGCUUCGGCAAUGGACGAAAGUCUGACCGAGCAACGCCGCGUGAGUGAAGAAGGUUUUCGGAUCGUAAAACUCUGUUGGUAGAGAAGAACGUAGGUGAGAGUGGAAAGCUCAUCAAGUGACGGUAACUACCCAGAAAGGGACGGCUAACUACGUG
rnacentral:rRNA from 1 species